rnacentral:rRNA from 1 species
AGUUGAUCCUGCUGGAGAUUGCUGCUAUCGGGAUUCGACUAAGCCAUGCAAGUCAGGUAGCAAUACCGGCAAACUGCUCAGUAACACAUCAUUAAUCUGCCCUUAGGUCAGGGAUAACCUCGGGAAACUGAGGGUAAACCCAGACAGAAGAAAUGGAUUGGAAGAUUAUUUCUUUUAAACUCGCGCCUAAGGAUGAGAUGGUGGCCGAUUAGAUUGUUGGUAGGGUAAAGGCCUACCAAGUCGAAGAUCGGUACGGGCCUUGAGAGAGGUAGCCCGGAGAGGGGAACUGAGAUACUGUCCCCAGCCCUACGGGGUGCAGCAGGCGCGAAACCUCUACACUGCACGAAAGUGUGAUAGGGGGAUCCCGAGUGCCAACGUUCUACGUUGGCUUUUGCCAAGGGUAAAUACCUUGGCGAAUAAGUGGUGGGUAAGACGGGUGCCAGCCGCCGCGGUAACACCUGCGCCACGAGUGGCAAUCGCUAUUAUUGGGCCUAAAGCGUCCGUAGCCGGUUUAGUAGUCUUCUGUGAAAUCGUUGUGCUUAACAUAACGGCGUGCAGGAGAGACUGCUAGACUAGAGACCGGGAGGAGUCAGAGGAAUUCUUGGGGUAGCGGUAAAAUGUUUUAAUCCCAGGAAGACCACCAGUGGCGAAAGCGUCUGACUAGAACGGUUCUGACGGUGAGGGACGAAAGCCAGGGGAGCGAUCCGGAUUAGAUACCCGAGUAGUCCUGGCCGUAAACGCUGCGAGCUAGGUAUUGCAUAAUUCUAGUAGUUAUGCAGUGUCGUAGAGAAGUCGUUAAGCUCGCCGCCUGGGAAGUAUGGUCGCAAGGCUGAAACUUAAAGGAAUUGGCGGGGGAGCACUACAAGGGGUGCGGCGUGCGGUUUAAUCUAACUCAACGCAGAGAAUCUCACCAGGAUCGACGGCAGGAUGAAAGUCAUGCUAAAGACAUUACUUGACGAGCCGAGAGGUAGUGCAUGGCCGUCGUCAGCUCGUGCCGUGAGGUGUCCUGUUAAGUCAGGCAACGAGCGAGACCUGUACCUUUAAUUGCUAACGACCUUUGGGAUCGAGCACAUUUAAGGGACUGCCUGUGAAAACAGGAGGAAGGUGCAGGCUACGGUAGGUCUGUAUGCUCCGGAUACCCUGGGCAACACGCGCGCAACAAUGGUACGUACAAUGGGCUACAACUCCGAAAGGAGAAGUCAAUCCUCGAAAGCGUAUCUUAGUCUAGAUUGAGGGUUGUAACUCACCCUCAUGACACUGGAAUCCCUAGUAAUCGGAUUUUAUCAUAGUCCGGUGAAUAUGUCCCUGCUCCUUGCACACACCGCCCGUCAAACCACCCGAGUAGGUUUUAGAUGAGGAUCUAUUUUCAAUAAAUUCGAAUCUAAUAUCUGCGAGGAGGGUUAAGUCGUCACAAGGUA